ACUACUAUUAUAUAUAGAGAGGGAUUAUAUCAAAUCUAUGCUCAAGAGUAAUCUGAAAACCCAAUUUUGAGAGGGUAAUAUUUGAGAAUUGAGAGAACCUUAUCAGAAGGGACAUUUUUUUGGGCAAAGGUGGUUAAUAAUGUUGAUAAGGAUAGAGGUAAGUUAAUCCAUCCAAAGGGAGUGAGAGUUAAGAGGAAGAGACAGGGCAAAGGCUGGGAACAGGCAGAGCACGAAUGGAGCUAUCAACAGAAAAUGGAGAAGUGAGAAAUGAGAGGAGAGAAAGAGAGAGAUCUGUUAGGGCUACGCUCAUGCACUGCCUCUUCCCUGGCUCUGUCUCUUUCCUAUUCCAACUCCACUUCCCUCAUCCAUUUCUGUAAUCUGUUAUUCAAAUGAACAUUUUAUCUGCUAAGCAAUUAGAUUUGCUCUAGGUGUUACUGCUUUAUUUGAUGCAAUAGCCCUAUUAGAUUGGCUCUGAUUGCUGCAGCUCUGUUUGAUUAUGCAAAAUUGUUUCAGUUCCAUACAUCCACAGUUGCCCGGCUGUGAGCAAUUUUUGUCUGUUUAUUUUAAGUUCAGAAGCACAUUGAGCGGGGUAGUUCAUUGAGAUCUUUAGCUUUCUGGCAACGGUGUGUGAAGCAAGAAUUAUCAACCAAGGUUCCUGCAAGAUGAUUACAUUGACGGACCAAUUGUAGUAUAAAUCUUGCCAUUAUUUUAAGGAAAGAAGUACGUGGGAGUGGAUUUUUGUAACGUGGCAUUCUAGAUUCCAAUGCACAUACAUUUCUGUAUAUAUAAAGAUGGACACUGAAAUCAGGCAUUUCUUUUAGCUUUUUGUACUGUAUUACUUUAUGUUUUUAUCAAGCAUUAAAUCAUCUAAUUUUAUUUGA